UCAAUUACGUACACGUCAUAGUUUCUAUAUAUAAGUGACAGACUCCUGAUAUAUGGUUAAAUUGAUUCAUGUCCAUUAUCGUUAUUUGAUUCAUGUCCAUCACAAGUACUCAUGUCCAUCGCAAAUCAAGCAUAUGUAAUAAAAACAAACGAAAGAUGAUCGAGGAGAAAAACACAGCCAAUGAUGUGCCAUGAGGAGCCGAAAACAGUUAAAAUGAAGUGGAGUGGGUACCAACAAGCAAAUUUCACAAGAACACACCAUGAAAAUGAACAUGAUUCAUCAACACACCAAGAUCGAAAAACACACUAUCAUCACCAAUCUAGUGAUCAUCCAGACGCUUAGAAAACCUCACUAUAUAUACAGUCACGAAACUGUAAUCAAUAUGGAGGUGGAGGAGGUCCGCCGUGGUGGCCAUGAGGUCCAGGUGGCCCACCGUGGUGGCCAUGAGGUCCAUGCGGUCCGCCGUGAGGGCCAUGAGGUCCGGGAGGCCCCCCAAACGCAGGUCCGCAGCAGCUCUCAAAGAUGCAACAGCAAAAUAGUAGAUAGCAACUGCAAUCGCAAUAAAGUGAAUAAACCUCACAACUUGACUACUUCCUUAUUGAAACGUACAAAGGGACGCUAAAAUGGCCUAGUUCUGUAUUCAUUUCUAGAGACAGAUUUGCUACUGAGUAUGCAAGUAUAUAUUUACAGUAUCACUUAC
rnacentral:lncRNA from 1 species